UACGUAGGGUGCAAGCGUUAAUCGGAAUUACUGGGCGUAAAGCGUGCGCAGGCGGUGAUGUAAGACAGAUGUGAAAUCCCCGGGCUCAACCUGGGAACUGCAUUUGGGACUGCAUCGCUGGAGUGCGGCAGAGGGGGAUGGAAUUCCGCGUGUAGCAGUGGAAUGCGUAGAUAUGCGGAAGAACACCGAUGGCGAAGGCAAUCCCCUGGGCAUGCGCUGACGCUCAUGCGCGAAAGCGUGGGGAGCAAACAGG
rnacentral:rRNA from 1 species